GAAUAAGAGUUCAGAAAAAAGGGUGCUUCACCAAACCAGAUGCUUGAAGAGGCUCACUUUUCAUCAGUCAACUCUCUUUGAAGACACAAUACCAAGAUCUGAUAACAACAAGAAAGACCAAAGUGGAGUGUCAUCUGCAGCAAUAAUAACCUCAGAACAACUGGAGGAGAAAGAGAUACAAGAAGAGUCUCUGGAGAAGAUGAAGAGUGAAGGCAAAGAAGGGAAGAGAAAAGAAAAAGUACAGCAGGAGCCUCUGGAGAAGAUGAGCGGCAAAAGGCAAAGGAAGGAAGAAAA